ACAUAGUACAAAAUAACACCCAAACCCAAACGUAGGAGCAUAACUUUAUAACGUAUGUCUUUUAAAUUAUGAGAUGACAAAAUAUUUGACAGCUUUACAUGCUCCCCAAAACAAUUUGAUUAGUUCCAUUAUGUUUUGGCAUGUUUUUUAGAAAAUUUACUUUAAUAAAAUUACAUUGUAUUAUAUUAUUAUGUAGAUAAGUGACACAAUCGGUAAAAUAUUAACAGAGAUGUCUACAAUAUAAUAAUUACAUUUCAGUGCUGCAUCGGUUUCCGGAUCCAGAAAAGGCAAAAGAGCGGUUUGAUCUUUGGGUCAAUUCCAUAGGAGGCAAUAUACUGACUUUACAAAAUGAAUUCAUUCAUAAAUAUCGGCGUGUUUGUAACACUCAUUUUGCAGAAAAGUAUUAUUGCCGCAACAAUCGAAUCAGCAAACUAGCAAUAACAACUUUAUUGUUGCCUGACUCUUCACUGAUUGAAAAUAGGCUACUGAGGCAGUUGCAAAAUGUGGUUGGAUCUUUGCCAUCAACCUCACAAGGAGGCACAGAUUUCAUUACAACAUUUACAGAAGAAAUAAUCCCAGUGCAGCAGUCUCGAAAUUUACCUAAAUCUUUACCAUCAGGCUUACAAGAUCUCAUUGAAAUUGAAGCCAAUAAAGAAAAUCGCCCUGUUUGUCAAACUGAA